AUUGAACGCUAGCGGGAUGCCUUCCACAUGCAAGUCGAACGGAGUGGCGAACGGGUGAGUAAUGUAUAGGAACGUGCCCAGUAGCGGGGGAUAACUACGCGAAAGCGUAGCUAAUACCGCAUACUAUUGGACCGGCCGAUAUCAGAUUAGCUAGUUGGUGGGGUAACGGCUCACCAAGGCGACGAUCCGUAGCUGGUUUGAGAGGACUACCAGCCACACUGGUACGGAGACACGGCCCAUAAGCCUACGGGAGGCAGCAGUUGGGAAUUGUGGACAAUGGGGGAAACCCUGAUCCAGCCAUCCCGCGUGUGCGAUGAAGGCCUUCGGGUUGUAAAGCACUUUUGGCAGGAAAGCGGUACCUGCAGAAUAAGCACCGGCGAACUACGGGCCAGCCGCCGCGGUAAUAC
rnacentral:rRNA from 1 species